UACGUAGGGGGCAAGCGUUGUCCGGAAUCAUUGGGCGUAAAGAGCGUGUAGGCGGCCAGACAGGUCCGUUGUGAAAACUGGAGGCUCAACCUCCAGACGUCGAUGGAAACCGUCUGGCUAGAGUCCGGAAGAGGAGAGUGGAAUUCCUGGUGUAGCGGUGAAAUGCGCAGAUAUCAGGAAGAACACCCGUGGCGAAAGCGGCUCUCUGGGACGGUACUGACGCUGAGACGCGAAAGCGUGGGGAGCGAACAGG
rnacentral:rRNA from 1 species